rnacentral:rRNA from 1 species
CAACCCUUGACAUCGUAGGACAGCUCCAGAGAUGGAGUCUUCUCGUAAGAGACCUAUAGACAGGUGCUGCAUGGCUGUCGUCAGCUCGUGUCGUGAGAUGUUCGGUUAAGUCCGGCAACGAGCGCAACCCACGUCCCUAGUUGCCAGCAUUCAGUUGGGCACUCUAUGGAAACUGCCGAUGAUAAGUCGGAGGAAGGUGUGGAUGACGUCAAGUCCUCAUGGCCCUUACGGGUUGGGCUACACACGUGCUACAAUGGUAGUGACAAUGGGUUAAUCCCAAAAAGCUAUCUCAGUUCGGAUUGGGGUCUGCAACUCGACCCCAUGAAGUUGGAAUCGCUAGUAAUCGCGGAACAGCAUGCCGCGGUGAAUACGUUCCC